UGUUGUGUUGUGUUGUCGCCAUCGUUGUCGCCGUCGUUGUCGCGUCCUUCGAGAAACUGGAGAACCGCAGGAAGCGAAAAAGGCGGGAACACGGUGGGCGGGAAAGUCGGUAUCCGUUGUUGUGUUGUGUUGUCGCCAUCGUUGUCGCCGUCGUUGUUGCCACAGCCGAGGAGCGGGCAGCUUUUUCGAGAGGUCCCAACGCCUGUUUAGGAGGAACUAUGCGCCUACUCGUUGCGUUCGAAGAACAUAAUCGAGUAAUCGACCUGCAAGAGAAGUGUGCCGAGAGUGAACUGAGGCAAGCAAUACGUGAAAAGUUUCCGGAUGUUGACAUUAACUCUACAUUGAUUCAGGUGUUUGACAAGGACUUCGAAGCCUAUGUGGACUACGACUGCGGAGCAGUUCUAGAAGAUAAAGGAAAAAUCCUGUUGGUUCAAAAGAGAAAUCCCCCUGGGAUUGAAGCAGAGUAAGCUUAUGUUCUUUGAUUUUAACAGUGCUGAUAAAUUACAAUGACCAGAGUUUGCAGAUGUUCAUAGGUCUUUUUCUGUUUCAGACCAUCUAGUGUUGUGGUUUCAAACAAUGGCACAGAAGGGGUGCAAACUGUGCGGUCGGAGUUGGAGUUUGUCCUUCCAGACUUCCCAUUAGACAUUGUUCUUUCAUUGAAAGCCCAGAAAGACAAGGCCUGCCUGACAAAUACACUCAGAAAAAGAAUAAUCCAAUGGAUAUAUCACCUUUUAUGCGAGUACAGUCUUUAUCCUGGAAGGCUCUACGCUGAGGCAGCACGGCAGCUCAUCCUCAAGCAUCCCGACCUUCGGGACAGCAUUGGUACAGGAUAUG